rnacentral:rRNA from 1 species
ACGGGAGGCAGCAGUGGGGGAUAUUGCACAAUGGGGGAAACCCUGAUGCAGCGACGCCGCGUGAGUGAUGAAGUAUUUCGGUAUGUAAAGCUCUAUCAGCAGGGAAGAAAAUGACGGUACCUGACUAAGAAGCCCCGGCUAACUACGUGCCAGCAGCCGCGGUAAUACGUAGGGGGCAAGCGUUAUCCGGAUUUACUGGGUGUAAAGGGAGCGUAGACGGUAUGGCAAGUCUGAUGUGAAAACCCAGGGCUAAACCCUGGGACUGCAUUGGAAACUGUCAAACUAGAGUGCAGGAGAGGUAAGUGGAAUUCCUAGUGUAGCGGUGAAAUGCGUAGAUAUUAGGAGGAACACCAGUGGCGAAGGCGGCUUACUGGACUGUAACUGACGUUGAGGCUCGAAAGCGUGGGGAGCAAACAGGAUUAGAUACCCUGGUA